UUUCUUUUUUUUUUUUUUUUUUUUAAUGGGGGAAGGGGAUGUCUCAGUGGGCCCAUGCCGAGGCAUCCCUUCCCCCUGCGGGACCAGCCACACGACUGUAUAGUAUAGAAUAGAGUUUUUUCAGGGCAUGAAGAGGGGAGUUAAGAGGGCAGUAGAGCCAGAGAAAGGCAGAGAGAGAGAGAGAGAGAGAAGUAGAGGCCAUCCAUGAACACUGGAGAGAGGGGAAAAAGAGAGGGGAAGGGAAGAGCCCAAGAGGGCAAGAGAGAGCAAGAGAACUAAGAGCUGAAUUCUGCUUUUCUUUUGAGCAGUUCAAGUAUCGCUCUAAUUGCUCUGCAAGUCAGCAAAUAGCUCCGCAGAGCUUUGUUUUGGAAGUUGAUCUGUCAUAGUGAAAACAAGAAUUCCCAGAGGAGAGCGGACAGUUUCUCCGGAUGCCACAGCUGUAGCAUAAACACAUAAGUGAUACAAAUGUGGGGUGGGGAGGAGGCCUGGGCACCCAGGCUCCCAUACUGGUACAGCCACACCUGCUCCCUCAGCAGAGCCUCAGAGUCCUUUUUAAAAAAUACUUAUUUUUAUUUUAUGCAUGUGUUUAUUUUUGCAUGUAUAUAUGUGUGUGCCGUAUGAGGGUCUGGUAGAUGCAGAGAGGACAUGGGGUCCCUUGGAACACGGAUUGCAGAUGAUUGUGUUAGCCAUCAUGUGGUUGUUGGGAACUGAACCUGGGUCCUCUGUAAAAACAGCAAGUGCUCUUAACCACUGAGGCAUCUCUCCAGACCCUCAGAGCCCUUCUUUUUUUUUGUUGUUUUUUGUUUUGUUUUUCGAGACAGGGUUUCUCUGUGUAGCCCUGGCUGUCCUGGAACUGACUCUGUAGACCAGGCUGGCCUCGAACUCAAGAGAUCCGCCUGCCUCUGCCUCCUGAGUGCUGGGAUUAAAGGCGUGCACCACCACGCCCGGCUCUCAGAGCCCUUCUUAAGCGUAGCCUGGAGUUCAUGUCUUUAAUGGCAGUAGUGGCAUGAGUUUUAGAUUUGUAGCUUAUACAGCAACGUUUCCAAUAUUUUUCAUGUUAAAAAAAAAAACACAUUGAUUUGUUUGUUUAGUAUUUUUGCAGCAAGGUCUUGAACUCUUUUCAUACCCUUCUGCCUCAGCCUCCAAGGAACUAGUAUCACAGGCAUGCAGUACUAGCGGACUUGUAAAUACAUCUGUGGGAGAGAAUUCUACAGCGUGUGUGUGUGUGUGUGUGUGUGUGUGUGUGUGUGUGUGGUCUGUCUGUCUGUCUGUUUUAUAGAGGGAGCACAUGCCAGUUGGUGAUUGAUCUUUUUAAAGAUUCAUUUACUUUUGUUGUGUGUAUGAGUGUUUUGCUUACAUGUAUGUCUGUGCACCACGUUUGUGCCUGAUGCGCCUGGAGGCCAGAAGAGGACAUCAGAUCUCCUGGAACUGGUGUUGCAGGUGGUUAGGAGCUGCCACAUGGGCACUGGAAACUACUGUCUGACCCCUAGUAUACACCCUGGCAUGCAUGCCCAAAUAUACAUACAUACAAAAUGUAGUACCAUUCAGAAAUUAAAAAUAAUAUUGUGCCAUGUGUUUAGCGUCCUGGCGAGGACCCUGGGAGAAGCAAGCCUGACUCUCCUGCAUGCUGAGGGACAGACAGCAUGACUGCAGAAGGAGACUGAUUUGGCUGUGGCUAGGGAAGGCACAUCCGGUGUUUAAUUAAUAUGCUGCUUUUGUCUUUUCUCUUUUAUCCAUGAGUUUAGUUGCUGUUUUGUUUUCCCCCAUCAGUAAGAAGACAAUUCACAAGGAAGUAUGUGGUGUCUAGUCCUAACUGGAGGCUGCAGGAAGCAGACAUGGCUAUUUAUACUGGCCUGCUGUUGGAUGUUUGCAUCUCUAUGUCAACUCCACAUGAACCUUACAUGAGACCCUGCUUCAGUUGCCACCUCUUUGCCUCUUUGUAGGCUUCUUUAGUUCAGCUGCAGGAUUCCGUGUCCCAGUAUUGGAGACCUGACAGGCCUUUUGUGUUUGACAUUUUGUUGUCUCACUUCCUUUAGCAAGGUGUGACAUUCAGAAAGUUGUUGAUAACGGAAAGAAUUACAGAAGAAACAAAGACCAGGGCUGUGUCUGAAGAGGAAUUUCUCCUCUGCUGGCUCUAUCCCCCUUGUCUUCCAUCCACUUCCACCGCUGUGUCUAUCCCUGCUUCCUGGGUGAAGGAACACCAUGACCAACCAAGGCAGCUCUUAGAAAGAACAACAUUUAAUUGGGGCUGGCUUGUAGCUCCAGAGGUUCGGUCCAUUAUCAUCAUGGCAGAAAGCACGGCAGCAUCCAGGCGGGCAUAGCUCUGGAGAAGCUGAGAGUUCUAUAUCUUGUUCUGAAGGCAAACAGAAGAUGUCUUCCGAUCAACUAGGAGGAGGGUCUCUGGAAGCCCACCCCCACAGUGACAUACUUCCUCCAACAAGGCCACACCUUCCAACAGUGCCACCUCAUUGGCGGAGCAUAUUCAAACCACCACAGAAGUCAGACUCCCACCAAUGGGAUGAGGCAUAGUCUCUAUAACUGCAUGAGAAAUAAAAGACAGAGGCCGGUGAUCUUGGCCUGGUGUGCUUGCUAGCUGGUGCACACGCCCUUUGCGUUGUGUGUGUGUUUAUGCAACACCAAAAUUAUGCUUUCUGACAGUCUCAUCUACAUGUCCUGUCAGGUCACCCACCGUCAGAUUUACAGACGUUAGUCAUAAACAUAAGUUAGUGAAACCAGCCAUGUGUUGUUUAAUAAGUUAUUCUUUUUUAAACUUGUCCUGUAGGACCUCACAUAAUGUAUGACAGAAUUCCUUGGCAAUGUGAGUGGGGUAUAGGAGGUUACCACAUAACAGAAUCUGAGUCAGUUGUUGGAAAUAUGCAAAGCAUUUGAUGCAUUAAUUUGAAAAGCAUAUGGAAAUUUUCAGAAGUUAAGAAGGAAUUAUUAGGAAAAUUUAAAGAGUUGUGUCUGGACGGAAUCCAGAGGCAGGGUCCAGAGCUGCACUGGCAUGGGCUGUUGGGCAUAAAAAGUUUAUUAUCGCCGGGUAGUGCUGCUGCCAGCCUUUGAUCCCAGCACUUGGGAGGCAGAGGCAGCAGAUCUCUGUGUGUUCAAGGCUAGCCUGGUCUACAGAGCAAGUUCUACUACAGCCAGGGCUACAUAGAGAAACUGUCUUGAAAACAAAAAUGUUCAUUAUCAUUGUUAUUAAUACCGUGGGUAGACAGAAAGACAACGGCUAGCCAGAGGCUCUGAGGAGGACAUUCGGGCCCAAGCAGCAGAGAUGGGGCCUUGUCUUAGAGAUUUCAGAGGAGCCUGCUCUGGGGCUGCUAUCUCUGAUUCUCCAGCAGGCUGCAGGAAAAGAAUGUAUCAUUGUACUCUAGUUCUCUGAUAUGUCUGAUUGUUCAGUCUGCCCAUGCAAGGCGCUCACUUGGGGGAGUAAGAAACCAAGUACCCCGGGGCUGGUGAGAUGGCUCAGUGGGUAAGAGCACAGACUGCUCUUCCAAAGGUCCUGAGUUCAAAUCCCAGCAACCACAUGGUGGCUCACAACCUUCUGUUGCAAGAUCUGACUCCCUCUUCUGGAGUGUCUGAAGACAACUACAGUGUACUUACAUAUAAUAAAUAAAUAAAUC
rnacentral:lncRNA from 1 species